CCUCAGCGCCAUUUUGUGGCGGCGAGACCCGCAAAUAAAGGGGAGCGCCGGGGCUGCGGCGGGCGGAGCGCGGCGGGCGGCCCGGGCCGGGCGAGCGGGCGGCGCGGCCUCGGCCUAUGUGACUGGGCGGCGCCUGCGCGGCCCCGCUCGGGAGAGGUUUCAAAAUGACCAACGAGGAACCUCUUCCCAAAAAGGUUCGACUGAGUGAAACGGACUUCAAAGUAAUGGCACGAGAUGAGUUAAUUCUAAGGUGGAAGCAGUAUGAAGCGUAUGUGCAAGCUUUGGAGGGCAAGUACACAGAUCUUAAUUCUAAUGAUGUAACUGGCUUAAGGGAAUCUGAAGAAAAACUAAAGCAACAACAGCAAGAGUCUGCUCGCAGAGAAAACAUCCUUGUAAUGCGACUAGCAACCAAGGAACAAGAGAUGCAAGAGUGUACUACUCAGAUCCAGUACCUCAAGCAAGUCCAGCAGCCCAGUGUUGCCCAACUGCGAUCGACUAUGGUGGACCCGGCGAUCAACUUGUUUUUCCUAAAAAUGAAAGGCGAACUGGAACAGACUAAAGACAAACUGGAACAAGCUCAAAAUGAACUGAGUGCCUGGAAGUUUACGCCUGAUAGGUAAACAAUCAUAUCCCCAGUCAAGACUUCCCUGACAGUCCCACUGCGAGAACACUGUGGUGGGACAGCCGAGUACUCGUUUCCACACCAAGACUCAGACUUUUUGAGCCAAAAAGCCACAUUCUUUACUGUCCGGCUUGUAAUGGUUAAUGUGCACUUACCAGAUGAACCUUGUGUUUCAGCUCUUUCCUCUUCCCCCUCCCCUUGCUUCAGAGGCCUGAUGGCGUCGGACUAUUCCGAAGAAGUGGCCUCCUCCGAAAUUCCCCUUCUAGAACAUGUAGACACUUGAGAGAACAGUUUCUGUUUGAAGAAAAUACAGGGAGAAACAGAAGUCUUAAGUCUGUGGCACACUGUGUCUUCAGACAGUUUGGAGGAAUGAAAACCUAGAGAUUUAAAAUCCUGAAUUGAACAUGUAAAAUUGCAGUAAAAUGUAAAAACGGAAAAUGCAUCGCUCUUACUGUUGAGCAUAGUGACUUAGAGACACUGCUUAUCUGCUUUGCCGAUAAGACUGUGGACUUCGUGCUUGUUGGUGGACUUCUGGGUCAAAACUCAAUUGGGGUAAAUUUUGCCUCUAAAGGUUUACUUGCUAAGAACUAACUUAACAGUCUUGAGAGAAUCAAACAAUAGAUGUCAGUACAAAUAGUUCAUUUACUUAACCAUCUCCUUUGGGGCUCUCUUACUUGAUGGAGCCUUAAAUCAAUGUGGUUUUUAAUCAAUGGUUUGUUCUUUGAAUGGUUGCGAAAACUGUAGAUAAUCAUCGAGGACUGUACAAAAUGAAGGUGUGGUAUCAAAUCAGGUUGAAACUGUUCGAAGCAUUAAAAACAUUCAUUUCACAAGUAGAUUGUAUAAGGAUAUUGGCUGUGAUGGGACUCACUGCUUUAUUUUUCAGUAGUGGAAUUGAUUAAUCCCCGUUCGUUCAACAGGCACAUGUUGAAAGAGCGUUGUCGUUGGUGUUCAUGGGGGAAUGUGUUCCUUCAUUGUAUUUGGCCUUUUGUACUACACUUGAUAUUAAAUUAAAUGUGCCUUGAAAUAGUUGUUUUUUUUUUAAGUUCAAGGAAUACUAUGAUGAUUUUGUUGUACUUUUAAUCUUUUGGUUUGGGGGGCUGUGGAGAGCAGAUUCAUUUUGGAAAAAUUGUUGCGUGCUCUUCAAGAGAAGGAAAAGGCUCUGUGUCUCAUUUUUCAAAGACCGUUUUUUUUUCCAGCUGGUAUAAAAGACAAGGACACUUGACACUUGUUACUUUUUGACACUAUGUCCCAGGAUAUUGCAGUAGAAAUUAAUGUGGGACAGCUUCACUGGUGCCCGCUGAAGACGGGGAGUAGACUGAAUCGGGACUGUGGGCUGGCCUCAGUGAGACAUUUUGUAUUUGAAUUACAAACAAAGGUAUAGUGAUCAUUUCUAGCAAAUUCAUUUGAUCAUUUAGAUAAACGAGGCAUUUUCUUCAUGCUUCCAUCCAGUCCUGGAGGUGAAUUUUUUUCGUCAGACCAUUCAGUAAGUCACCAAUUUGAAUUUUCGCUUGGUGAUAAUGGAGUCUAAGAUGAGUGGAAGAUAAUGUUCCAGAUUGUCCCAACGGUUAAGUGCAGUUUUAACAAGGGUGACUUAAGUUCUCUCUUAAUCGUUCAAAUCAAUUCCAAACGGGCAAAAAGUUAAUGGCGAAGUGCCGAAUGCUUAUCCAGGAGAACCAGGAGCUUGGAAGGCAGCUGUCCCAGGGACGUAUUGCACAACUUGAAGCAGAGUUGGCUUUACAGAAGAAAUAUAGUGAGGAGC